rnacentral:lncRNA from 1 species
UAAUAACCUUAUUCGAGAAUAUUCAAGCAUAAAUACUACUUUGAGUGCACUCUAGAAGCUAUUUUGCUGUAAUAUAGAAAUCACUUAUGAUAGACAUGGCUUUGAAACGUAGAAACAACUCUCAAACUCCCCUCAGCCGGGUGUGGGACGAAAAUGUCGUCUGCUAUUCUGCCGUCCUCAUAAAACGCCACUUUUUACUUCAAAUUCACCAUCAUGUAUCGAAACGGCAGUACAUUUAGUUUGAGUACGCCAUAAAAAAUGUUUCCCACCAUAUUUGAAGCCUUCGCCGUCUGUGUCCAAAACCUGGAGAAACUCCAUCAUCGGAGCUCAGCUCUCCUGCCCUGCGCCGGUGUCAAAGCCAAACAUAAACAAAAACACCGAAAGGCCCUAGUUUUAGGCUUCGUUUUUUCAUCAGGAUUCAACCAGACAUCAGGACUGGCCCACAAAGCAACAAGUGCAUUUGAUGCGGACAUAUUUAACAAAAGGAGACCUUCUGGCACUCAAUCCCUCAUUUGUAUUUGUUGUUAGAACAAAUGGCAUCAGAACAGCCAGACUUCUCACUUGUGCUGCAGUUUGGUGCAGUUUUUCUUCAAGAUACUACAUGUUUCGGCACCAGCCUGCACACCAAUCCUUGUACGCCUUCUGGACCGAUGUGCGUAAUAUUAUGCACUAGACAAGAAGUGACAUCAAAGUAUGGAAAUGAUAUCAGGACACUCCUGUAGUUUACUCCAUAUUUCAUCGGUGGAUCAUUCUCUUCCUUCUUCUUCUGUUUAGAUUGAGAUGUGCCGGGACUUAGAAGAAAGCGAGGAAUUUAGUGGAUAAAUGUGCCGAAAAUGACAGCAGUUUGUGUUUUAGUGAACCUUGAGGGGCGUGAGUUUGUCUUGCAUUUGUCUGAUAACAAGUCCACGACACUAGAAAGAGAAUUUGAGCUGUUGUGUGAUGUGGACAAGUGGUUGCCGAGGCGAGCUUUGAAGUCCAUGCCCACCUACCGAACGCACAAUGAAUUUUUCUGGAAAAUGUUGGAGUUUCCUAGAUCGCAGCCAAUUCAUGAUAAAGAAAUCAUUCACAUUGGAUGGACUGAGUUACUUGACGGACUGAGCGGCAACUCAGUUGAUUUUUAGUGGAAUAACCUAAACCAAGGGCAGCCUACAGGGACAUUACCAUCCAAAGAAAAUGCGCUCCAUCAUCCUGCAGGCAAGAAGAGUGAAAGCUCAUUCCUUUCUUCAACCAGGAACGUAGAACAGUGGUCCUCACAAAAACAGGAGGAAAUUGUUGGUGCAUACCCAAACAGUAGAGCAACCAGCAUCAAUCAAAGUAUGACAAGCAGAGCCCGGAACAAGCAAAAAUUAGUCAUCAAAAAGUGCACAAGAACCAGGUACAAGUAAACAUUCUGAAAUGAACUGGACCUUUCUAAAAUUUGUUCCUUGGGUGGUAGUGACAGUGAGUCUGGGAGUGGGAGUGAUGAUGAAUAACUUGUCUUCUCUGAGCUAAAGGAGUACUUUAUUAAGAACACUGGGAAAGCCUUUCAAACAGCGAGAGAAGGGCUUGCGAGAGGAAGUACACGAGGCAUGAAGCACUAGUGAAA